rnacentral:misc_RNA from 1 species
GGAACAGGGACGCGUAGGUGUUCAGUGUGCCAGUUCAAAGCGAAUGUCUUUGCUGGUUGCUCAUGGGUGGAACAUUGAACUGGGUGUGGAGUGAGAUUCGUCUCGUGUUAGUACGGCCUUCGGGUUGGGAACGCAUGGUCGGGUGGAGUUCUGCGCAUGCACGCUGUUGGGUCCUGAGGGAUCGGGCUGGUUGCCUUUGGGUGGCUGGGUCGGCUCUUUGGAUCUUUUUCUCACGCCUGGGUGUGUGGGGGAAGGGUACCUCCCGUAUUUUGAGAACUACACAGUGGACGCGAGCAUCUUUGAUACAGGACUUAAAAUCCUGCAUCAAAAGAUUUGCGGGAAUGCUUUCGGGUGUUUCUGUAGAUCAUUGGAUCUGCAACUUUUCGAGUUGUGGUUCCUUUAACUCAUGUGAUUUCAAGUUUUUAAGAGCAAACGGUGGUGGCCCUUGGGCAA